rnacentral:rRNA from 1 species
UACGUAGGGUGCAAGCGUUAAUCGGAAUUACUGGGCGUAAAGCGUGCGCAGGCGGUUUUGUAAGUCUGUCGUGAAAGCCCCGGGCUCAACCUGGGAAUUGCGAUGGAGACUGCAAGGCUUGAAUCUGGCAGAGGGGGGUAGAAUUCCAGGUGUAGCAGUGAAAUGCGUAGAGAUGUGGAGGAACACCGAUGGCGAAGGCAGCCCCCUGGGUCAAGAUUGACGCUCAUGCACGAAAGCGUGGGGAGCAAACAGG